CAGACCCAGACCCGAAUAGUAUUCAAAUCCAAUAUUCAGACUAGGACCCGACCCACCGGGUUCAAGGCUCAUACCCGGGAGCCGACAGGUCCAUUGCCACCCAUAUUUAUUCUUUGGAGUCAUAUACGAGCACCCUAUUUUGUCUUAUUCUAUGUUACAAUGUAACUACUUGUACAGUCUAAUCAACGCACCGACUCUGUCAAUAGAGUCUAUGGAAUGCAAUGCACAAUGUAAAUCACCAUCCAUUCUCCCAAAAAGACGAUCACGAUGAACCGGAUGGGGUUUUUCAUAAAGGUCCGCUUCAUCUCCACCGUUGGUUUUAAGGCAGAUGGCACCAAGGUGUUCUUUCCCAUACAUCAAUUGCGUACGGUUACAUCACCUUUGUCGUGCAUCGUGCAUGGUGUUGACGGUGCUCAAUUAAU
rnacentral:lncRNA from 1 species